rnacentral:rRNA from 1 species
UACGUAGGGGGCAAGCGUUGUCCGGAAUUACUGGGCGUAAAGGGCUCGUAGGUGGCCAACUAAGUCAGACGUGAAAUCCCUCGGCUUAACCGGGGAACUGCGUCUGAUACUGGAUGGCUUGAGUUUGGGAGAGGGACGCGGAAUUCCAGGUGUAGCGGUGAAAUGCGUAGAUAUCUGGAGGAACACCGGUGGCGAAGGCGGGUCUCUGGAACGGUACUGACGCUGAGACGCGAAAGCGUGGGGAGCGAACAGGAUUAAGAUACCCGUGG